AAAAAGGCAAACCGUGGGUUCCCGUGCCAACGUUUGACUGUCCGUCUUAUAUGAAAUUUUUUUAUAAUUAGUAUUUUUAUUGUUGUUAGAUGAUAAAAUAUGAUUAAUAUUUUAUGCGUGACUUAUCUUUUUAGUUUUGUUCAUAACUUUUUCAAAUAAGACGGACGGUCAAAUGUUGGACACGAAAACU
rfam:Oryza glaberrima chromosome 5 Oglab05_0102_4, whole genome shotgun sequence.